AGCUUGGUGGCCCAGUGGAAGGCCGUCGGGCUCAUACUUGCAAUAGUGAAACCCGAAGGUCGCUGGAUCGAAACCAGUCCAAGCUA